rnacentral:rRNA from 1 species
UACGGGGGGGGGCAAGCGUUGUUCGGAAUUACUGGGCGUAAAGGGCUCGUAGGCGGCCAACUAAGUCAGACGUGAAAUCCCUCGGCUUAACCGGGGAACUGCGUCUGAUACUGGAUGGCUUGAGAUUGGGAGAGGGAUGCGGAAUUCCAGGUGUAGCGGUGAAAUGCGUAGAUAUCGAGAGGAACACCAGUGGCGAAGGCGAGUCCCUGGACAACACCUGACACUGAGGCACGAAAGCUAGGGGAGCAAACAGG